rnacentral:rRNA from 1 species
UGCCGAAGCAACUAGCCCUGAAAAUGGAUGGCGCUCUAGCGUCGUGCCUAUACCGGGCCGUCAACGGCAAAGUGGGCUGGUGCCAGGCCGGUUAACGCCGGCCUGCUCGGCCGUUAAGCCUUGACGAGUAGGAGGCGCGCGGCGGUGUGCGCAGAAGGGUCUGGGCGUGAGCCUGCCUGGAGCCGCCGUCGGUGCAGAUCUUGGUGGUAGUAGCAAAUACUCUAGCGAGGGCCUGGAGGGCUGAUGUGGAGAAGGGUUUCUUGUGAACAGCCGUUGCACAAGAGUCAGUCGACCCUAAGCCCUAGGAGAAAUCCGAUGUUGAUGGGCAGCGAUCACUCGGCCGGGUUCGGUGUCGGUCGCGGUGCGCUCUUUAAACGGCGCGCGCUCGCCGCCCCACCAAGGCCUACCGACUGCUCCCGUCGGGCGAAAGGGAAUCCGGUUCCUAUUCCGGAACCCGGCUGCGGAACCGUCACUUCGCGGGCACUCGCCUGCGAGCGCUCGUCGGGGUAACCCAAAAUGACCCGGAGACGCCGGCGGGAGGUCUGGAAAGAGUUGUCUUUUCUUUAUAAGCGUUCGAGUUCCCUGGAAUCCUAUAGCAGGGAGAUAGGGUUUGGAACGCGAAGAGCACCGCAGUUGCGGCGGUGUCCGGACCUUCCCCCCGGACCUUGAAAAUCCGGGUGAGGGCUACGCGGAAAUGUCGCGCCGGCUCGUACCCAUAUCCGCAGCAGGUCUCCAA